GCUCGAGACACCCAUUUGGUUUUUGAUCAUGAGUCCACGAUCUAUUAACACCAUUAGAGGACAACAAUUUGGAUGAAAUUGUGACCCAAAUUCUGCGGCAGCAUCAUUUAAUUUACUGACAGAUUGGGGAAUGCCACAUAGAGAAACACCUUCAGUUUUCCCGAAUGGUUGGAACUGCCACCGACUACGCACUGAGUCCAGUCCCCGCUGCAACUGUGAUUGAACAUGAGGCAC